UGCUACUGAGCUAAUGAUGGCGUA
rnacentral:siRNA from 1 species